ACACUCCUGCGGGAGGCAGCAGUGGGGAAUUUUGGACAAUGGGCGAAAGCCUGAUCCAGCAAUGUCGCGUGAGUGAAGAAGGCCUUCGGGUUGUAAAGCUCUUUUGUCAGGGAAGAAACGGUGAGAGCUAAUAUCUCUUGCUAAUGACGGUACCUGAAGAAUAAGCACCGGCUAACUACGUGCCAGCAGCCGCGGUAAUACGUAGGGUGCAAGCGUUAAUCGGAAUUACUGGGCGUAAAGCGUGCGCAGGCGGUUUUGUAAGUCUGAUGUGAAAUCCCCGGGCUCAACCUGGGAAUUGCAUUGGAGACUGCAAGGCUAGAAUCUGGCAGAGGGGGGUAGAAUUCCACGUGUAGCAGUGAAAUGCGUAGAUAUGUGGAGGAACACCGAUGGCGAAGGCAGCCCCCUGGGUCAAGAUUGACGCUCAUGCACGAAAGCGUGGGGAGCAAACAGGAUUAGAUACCCCAGUAGUCCCAUGA
rnacentral:rRNA from 1 species